AACCCAUUCCGCACAUAAUUUUGCUUCUGUCAGAGCCAGGCCUAUCCUCGCCUUCCCCAUGGACCUUAGUCAUCACAUUUCUCAAGCCCCAAGCUUCCCAUCUCUCUCCCUUGCGCGUCGCCAAGCCGAACGCUAUCCUUCUCAAGGCUCCACAGCCGUUGAGCCACCGCUGCAGGUUCAGUCGAACAAUCGCCUCUGCGGUGAACACUUCUUCAGUUCAACAAAAUUCGUCGACAAACGCCAGCGACGAGCCGCAGAAAGCUUCUGUUCUAACAUUCCAACAAGCUAUUCAAAGGCUCCAGGUCAUGUUCGCAGACCUAUUCGUCGGAUUAUAACCCUCCAUGGGGAUGCAAUAGUUCCAUUUAUGUUUGUUGGAAUUAUGAGGUAAUUGUUAUUAUGGGGAUGCAAUAGUCUCAUGGUUUCACAUGAACAAAAGAAUAUUCAGAUAUUUCAUUAUGCACCGAAGAUGUCUGAAAGUUGGAAGGGACAGAAGCAUCUUUUCAAGGGCUGAAUUCCAUGUUGGUGAUCAUGUGACUAAGUUCUUGCAGCUACUUCAUCUGAUUGAACCAGUGCCACUGCAGGCUCUGAUAAAACCAAUCGAUUUGCUUUGUUAUUUGGUACUCUGGAUGGCAGCAUUGGCUGUAUAGCUCCUCUGGAUGAACUCACAUUUUGUAGAUUGCAAUCACUACAGAAAAAGCUUGUUGAUGCAGUUCCACCUGUUGCUGGCUUAAACCCAAGGUCUUUUUGCCAGUUCCGUUCAAAUCGAAAGGCUUAUAGGCCUGGUCCUGACAGCAUAGUUGACUGUGAGCAGCUUUGCCAGUAAGUAACAUCUUUUUGUUCCUGAAAAAUACUACAGAAAGUACCAUUUUCUGAUAAUUAUUAACUUGAGCGCCAGUUUGAGAAAAGUUUGUUGCAUUUUCAUUUCUUUCCCUGCCCUUUGUGCUGCUUUCUGUCUCUGGCUACCGAAGAAUAAUAGGAUUAUGACUUUUCUUCAUUCCCAAGCAUUAACAUUUGCAUUUAUUUUCAAGUGUUUGGUUGGUUUGCCUAUGUUAUCAGAAUGCAUCACUCCACUGAAACUCAAGACAAAAUUUUCCUCAUGAAAACUGGUAACAGAUAUUAUUUACUUUGUUUCUUUAAAUUAAUCUUCCAUGCAAAAUUCUUGAGAUGUUCUUUGGAACAGUCUCAGUUGCAUUUUGUUAGAUACUUAACCUGUAUCUUAAGCAUGAGAAUUCAUCAUCAAUACAAUUUGCUUAAAUUCUUUACAUCAAUAGCUCAUUUUGAAUACUUAAUUUUGACAACAUGUAUAAAGUACCUCAUUCCCCACAUCUCUGAUCUGAGCCUUGCUAUGAGAGUAAAGUGUCUAGCCUUGCUGCGAGCUGCUGUCUUACACUGUUUUGUAGUUAUGAAAUGAUUUCAUUGGAGGAACAGCUUGAUAUUGCUCAACAGAUUGGAACGACCCGUUCCCAAAUUCUCUCUAAUUUAAAUGAUCUUACUCUGGGUACAAGUUCCUUGUGAAUGCAGCAGAUACCAAGGCAAAUAUUAAAACAACAUUGACUGAACCCAAAGCAUGAUGGGCUAUAUCCGUUGCAGAAUGACACCAUUCAAAAGAUUCUGUAGAUCAGGGUUGAUAUCUUUAUUUUAUGAAACAUGAAUUGUCUGCUCCCGAGAAAGAGAAAAAAUGUUGUUUAGUCACUGUGCCCAUCAAAUUUGAUGGAGUAGAAUCUUGUAUCUUAAGAGCUAGAGUUCACUCUAAUGAAACACAGGAUUGAUGAGUGACAUUGUGAAGAGUUAAGUAGAGUCUCCAAUUCUGUACUACUAUUUUAUUCAUUCACUGGCACUUUGGUGGCUGGCAGCCUGGAAUCUUUUGCGAGAAGCGACUUCAGCUAUAAACUGCAGUUGCAGUUGUAACUGAUUCACUGUGAGCAGGUUUAAUAUUUUUUAUAUUCCAGGUGAAUCGUGCAGUGUCAAAAUGUUGCAGUAUUUGCUUCUUGGGUCCAACAAUUUGACCAAGAAAUUGGCGGAAUCACGUUGGGUGCAGACUACAGCUGCAGCAGAGAAAACAGGGUGUAUUUUGUGUUCCGAUGUAAUUAAUGGGGCCAUCCCUACUUGAACAAAUAGUAUUAACCUCGCAGACAUAAUGAGAUUUCCUCUUCUUUUUGGUGGUGGGGAGAUUUGUAUCGUUUGUAGCUUAACUAGGUGUUCCUUUUCCCCCCUCUUUCUAACCGAGGAAAUCAUAUCUGCUAGAACAUCAUGAUGCAGAAAAUGCUACAGUGCGUUCAGCUAUCUGUAAUGUACAUGCGAAC